CACCUCCCUAUCCCUUUCCCAUUGGAUCUGAAUACCGAUCUUCUGGUCAAAAAGGAGGGAAAGAAAAAUAAAAGUUAUGCCUAACACAUUGCAGGGGCAAAUCCUGUACUGAACUGAGCUAACUUGUAACAGUA
rnacentral:snoRNA from 1 species